CUUUUCUUCUUUCUCUCUUCUUUCUUCCUCCCUGUCUUCUUUCUUUCUUUCUUUAUUUCUUUUCUUUCUUUUCCUUCCUUCCUUUUUUCCUGUCUGUCUUUCUGUCUUUCCUUCCUUCCUUCUUUCCUUUUUUUUUCUCUUAUCAUUUCCAUUUUCCAUCAGCAUUUUUCUGUGAUUACUACUUCCAUGGAAAACAGAUAUUUUUCUAAAUUAAUCUAAGGAAAACAUAAAAUAUCAUAUGCCAUGAAGACUAUAAUUCAAGGGCUUCCAAGAGAACUCAGAAGAUCAAAUUGCCAGGGCAAAGUUUUUAAGCUGGUCGUGCCGUGAAGCUUAGCUGAAAAUUUUGUAGAACGUCUAACCAGGCUGGAUCAAGAUAUUUGUAGAAUGAAGUAAGCUCAUAGUAACUCCCACUGAUGAACGUCCUGUUGAGAACAUUUCCCCAAAGCCUACAAUUUUUCUUCCUUCAAUUGCUGAAAGAAAACUCCAUAAGACUGGAACAUAUCUUUGUCUUCUUGAGGAUUUUUUCCCUGGUGUUAUCGAGAUAUAUUGGAAAGAAAAGAAUGGCAAAACAAUUCUGGAAUCCCAGCAGGGAAACACCAUGAAAACUAAGGACACAUAUAUGAAAUACACCUGGCUGACCGUGAGUGAAGAGUCAAUGGGUAAAGAACACAAAUGUGUUGUCAAACAUGAUAGUAAUAAAGGAGGGGUCGAUCAAGAGAUUCUUUUUCCUUCAAUAG